GUCUGAGGCCAAUUCCAAAUAUCAUUCCACAUCCAUAUCCUAUAACCACUGGUUCCCAUCCAAAUCCAAAUCUCUCUUCUCCCAAUAAGCUCGGAGAAGAUGGAGGUUUUUGUUCAGUGUUGUUGCAACUCAUUGACAAUGGGAACCCACAUAAUCCCGAGUUUCCUAGGUAGGAGUCAUUUGAAAAAGUCGCAAACUGUUUUCCUUGAGGUAUUUCUCCCACAAGCUGGUUAUUGGAAAGAUUCAGGACUUCAAGAUAGUUCAGAUUGGUUAAUUCUGUUGGAAUCCUACCAGUAAACAUAUUUGAGGAGAGAUCCAUUGAUUCUAAAUUUGUCAAAUAUCCAAUGGAUUUGGGAAUAAGACCACUUAAUCUGUUAUGGGAAAAAUUGAGUCCUCUAAGAGCAUGAAGCUCUCCAAUUACAUAUGGAAUUUGUCCUUGAAAUUUGUUUUGGGAUAAAUCAAUGGUUACAAAGUUUUUCGGAAUUUGUUUCAAUGUCAUACUUAUCGCUUUUGUUGUUACAGUUACAUAUCCAAUUGUACCUCUUUGGGACCCAUUAUAUGGCAUAUAUGUAAUGCCAAUGUAUAGCUCAUCCCCUUCAUAUGAAAUGACAUUCUUCAUGGCUUUAAAAUUUUGUAUAUAGGUUUUUGGUAUUGGACCAUUGAAAUAGUUGGAUGAGAUAUCAAAAAUAACUAUACUUGAAAAUUCAUACUGCGUCUCUAAAUCGUCAAUGGGACCGUACAAUUUGUUGGAUCGCAAAACCAAUACUGUCAACAUUGGUAGAGUUUGAAGCCAAUGGGGAAAUUUAUCCUCAAUUUGAUUGUUGCCAAGAUUCAAGAUCUCCAACUGUGUGCAAUUGGACAAAGAUUUUGGCAAAGGACCUUCCAAUUGGUUGUCAUUAACAUUAAAAUAAGCGAGCUCACUAUUCAUUGAGAAGUUAUUUGGUAAAGUGCCAUUUAGUUUGUUCCUCUGUAGAUCCAAAAUAUAAAGGCCCCACAAGUUUGCAAGGCAUGGUGGAAUGACGCCUGUCAACUUAUUGUGGGACAAGAUGAGAACUUGAAGAUUACUUGCAUUACAAAUUGAGGAAGACAUGUCACCAGUGAGUAAAUUGAAACUAAUAUCAAGGAUAUUGAGGUUGUAGUUCCUUGAGAAUUGGUUUAUUGGAGUUGUCAACAAGUUGUGGGAUAGGCUCAAAAAUUGUAAUGAACCCAUUUCAUGUAACCACUUGGGCAUUGUUCCAUUCAAUUUGUUGUUGGAUAGAUCAAGCUCUAUCAAAAUUGGGAUUUUUCCUAGUAAUUUUGGAAAUUCAGUUAAACCCACAGAAGAUAAAUACAAUCUCUCUAAGAGAGGAGCAUUGGUGAAAAUUGUAUAGUUAUGAAGACCAUUGAAGUUGUUUGAUGAUAGACAUAAGUGAGUUAGGUUUACAAGGGUGAAGACUGAUUGUGGAAUAUUGCCAUGUAGCUUGUUGUAGCACAAAUAUAGAGACUUCAAGGAUUGAGAUGAGAUUGAAGGUAUAUGGCCUGUGAACUGAUUCUCUGAUAGAUCCAAUUCUUGCAAAAAUGGCAAAGAUAAACACCAAGUAGGAAUUGUCCCAUUUAGUAAGUUGUCUGUGAAGAAUAAAAAAGUUAGAUUUGAAAGCCCUGUUAUUUUGUUUGGUAGAGGGCCCUCCAAUCUAUUCUCUGAAAGAUCCAAGUGAAGAAGAUGUUGAAGAUUUGAAAGUGAGGAUGGAAUUUGGCCACUGAAUCGAUUGUAUCCAAGAUCCAAAAAUGUAAGAUGUGGAAGGGUUAAGAUUGAGGAUGGGAUUGAACCCUUGAGAUAGUUACUUGAGAGAUCGAGGAACGUAAUAUGUGUGAAGUUGGAGAAAGAGGCAGGGAUUGUCCCCUCCAACAUGUUCCUUGAAAGAUCCAACAUAGUGAGAGAAGCAGCACUGCAACUCAAGUUAGGAAACUGCUCAAGACUAUUAUCUGACAACCAUAAGUGUUUAAGUUUUGGUAAACAUAAGAUGUCAGUUUUCAAGUUUUCCUGAACUCCGGUGUAUUUAAGACUAAGAUUAACCAAAGAGGUAGAUAGAUUGAGUGACCUCAUCGAACUAAAAGUCAUAUUUACACCAUCCAAAAUAAGCUCCGCUAAAACUGUUGCAUUUUGAAGGAACUUCUUCCAACUGUUUUCUUUCCACAUUAACCUAGUAAAAGAGAGAUCAAGUGAUUCCAAUUUGGAAAGUUGUGAGAUUUGGGAGGGAAUUUCACUUCGAAAUUCAUAGUUAGAUAUAUUGAGGUGUGUGAGGUUCACAUACCCAACAGAAGGAAAUGAUAAUUGAGAGGAGUAAAAGUAAUUGAAAGUAAGAUUAAGUGAUUGAAGAUGAGAAAGACGGAAAAGAGAAGUGUUUGGAUGGAUUUCACCUGAAAGACGAUUGCAAGCGAGGUCAAGGCCUAUGACGUGACCAGAGAUGGGAUGGCAAAGAACCCCAGACCAUGAACAACAAUCUGUUCCAUUUUCCCAGGUUGACAUCUUUGGAACAAAAUUAUCACAAUCAGAAUAAUAAUAGUCAUGAACAUAAGCAAGAGAGUUCUUGAAUUGGAGCAACGCAAUUUUGUCGUGAAGAUGACAUAAGGAAUGAGAGAAUGAGAAGAGAAAGAGAAACCAAUGGGAACAUAAAAGAAGAAACCAACCCACCCAUGACUCCAUUUGAAAGUGUAUUUAAUGAAAAGUGUUAAGUGUGAUUUAAUUAAAGGAAUGAAAGAUGAAGAUUUAUAGCCAAAAUAAAAUAGGAUAUGAAGAUGAACACGGCAUCACUCAGCUUAUAAUAUUUUCAUUAAUGUUUCAAUUUCCAAAUUGCCUUGAAAGACGGGGCAUAUGGGUUGAUUUUCAUCUUCAAAUAAUGUAUUAUACUUUUCCACCAAAAUGGAAUUGACUUUAAGUCAAUGCCCCAAAAAUUGGGACUUGGGUUUACUAUUCUUCGUGUUUCGUGUUUCUUGGGUUUAACGGUAAAAAGUGGAAUUAAGUAAAUAUUGUAUUCUUCCUUACAAUCUUUAUCGUGAACAAAAUGCUAUUAUUUUUAUCUUUUAGAUACAUUUUCUAUUUCUUUUUGUAGCAUUUUUUAAUUUUUUUCAUAUUUUUUUCAUCUGCUAACCAUAUAAAGAAUACCAUUUUAAAACAAAAUUAAAGAUAUUGAUUUUAUUUUAUUUUCUUAGUAUAGUUUUCUAGGUUAUAAUGUGUAUUUUAGUUGAGUGUGUAGACUCAAACGCUUUAAUUUUAAUUCAUACAUCACAAUGAAUUUUUAAUGAGACCUUUAAUUAGUUAGCCUUUUGUGUUAAUGGUUUCAUUUAUCUGAAAAUUUAAAAAAUGAAUUAGUUAAAAAUAACACUACAUAUUAAAGAACUUUUACUUGGAGAGUUGAAAUUGAUGGUAUGAUAGAUAGAAAAAUAAACACUACAUUAGAAAACUUAUAUUUAAAAAUAUACAACAACUUUUAAUUUAACCAAUAGUGACAAUUUAAUUCAAUAUUUUUUAGUGCUUAUGAUCUAUCUUUUAUCUUUCUAUUCAAGAAUUUCAAGUUUCAGACUGAAUUGCAGGUAAAUGUUUAGUAUCUUUGGAAGGCUGAAAUAAAUGUUAAGAGUUAAAGUACUAACUAUUUUUUAAAAUAGCUUGUGAUUCUUAUAAUUUUUUUUUAUAAAUUUGAUGAUUAUGAAUUUUUUAAUAUAGGUUUAUUUUAUUUUAAAUAUAUAAGUAAUGUAUUUAUAUUAAAAUUUUGUGGUGAUAUUUAUAUUAACAUGUUUUUGUUAGUUUAAGACUAAAAUAAAUGUAAGAGUUUUGGUCUUCUUACCAACUAAAAAAGUAUGAAUAAACGUACUAACAAUUUUUUAUUUCUUUCAUGAUUUCGGAAUUGGAUGGUUUUUUUUUUAAUAUAUGUUUAUUUUGUUUUUAAAAAUAUUUCAAUAAUGUAUAUACAUUAUUGUUGUCUUUAUUAAGACUUUUGUGGAUGAUAUUAAUUUGUUGUUGUGAGUUUGAAACUAAAGAAUAUAUAAAUAUCUUUCAAUAUUGUUUGUGAUUAAAACUCAUACAAAACAAAUAAAAUUUUGUAUAAAUUUAUGUAAAUGUAUACAUAAUUAGUAAUCAUUAAACUCAUUCAAAAAGUCUACUGAUACAUUCACAUUGUAGACAAUAUAAACCUUCAAACAUACAUGCUAAUAUCAUUAUAACAUAAUAUAAAAUAUUUGUUGCCUCUAUUUGGACUUUUGUGGUAGUGUUUAUCCUGACCUACAUGUAUGAGUUGUUUGUGAUUUUUUGCAUUUUUUUAAAAUUCAUGAUUCUUUUAGUUUUUAAUAUAGAUUUAUUUAUUUUAUUUACAAUAUAUUUGCCUUUACUUGAAUUUUUGUGUUAUCAUUGAUUAUGUUAACAAGCUUUAUGAAUUUGAGACUAAAACAAAUGUUAAGAAAUUAGGGUUUUAGUAAAACUGAAGCAUAAGAUAAAAAAAACUAACAAACUAAUUGUUUUUUAAUACUGUUUGUAACAGCGUAAAAAGAUAAAAGCAGAGCCACACCCCUCUCCCCACACAGUGCCUUUUAUUUUCUUUUUCUUUUUCUCUCUUCAUAUUCUUUUCUCUUCCUCUUUUUUAAUUUUCUCUCCCAAUAUUCAUCUAUUUUAGAAUCUAAUCGGACCACGUUGUAGCUGACGAGUUAAGGAACAUUUCUACCCUAUCAGAUUUUCAAACAGAGUAAGUUCAUUUUUGCUCUAAAGUUCCUUUGUUCUUUAUUUUUCCUUAAGAUUUAGUCAUCAAUCUUGGUGGGGUCAGUUGAGAAGUUUAAUCCUCUCAACUUAUUCUACUAUAUACUGAAUUUUUGUUCUGUUUGGAUAACUUGCAUUAGGCCCGUAAAUCUUGAAGUUUAUCGACGGUGGGAAAUAAAAUUCUAAAAGUUGCUUGAGGUAAGGGAAGCUAAAUUUAAUUUUUAAUAGCACCCUAGGAUAGAAGAUAUGAAUGCGAAAAGGACGUGGUCCCAAUAUUCAAUUUUUCUUGCAGGGAUGUUGUGUGUUAUAUAUAUUGGGUUGUUUGUUUAUAUAUUAUUUAAAUUUGUGGAAAUAUUAGGUUUUGAUGAUUUAGUAUUAAAGUGUUAUUUUUUUUAUGUCAAAUAGACUUUUGAAUAUUGUGGAUUACUUUUGAAAUGAUAUUGUAUGACGGAAUGGUAUGGAAUUGAAUUCAUACAUUUGGGAUAAUGUAUGGACUGAUGUUUGUUGUGUAUUAAGUAUUGAUGCCUAUGUGGUAACAGAGAUCUCCGAGCUUCACUGAUGAUCUAAGUCACAUAGAUUAAGACAUCAGGUGGUGAGAAGCUGAUGGGGGAGUUCAUGCACACCGUGACAUAUGAGAUGUACGACUUUGGUUGUAUUGAACUUACCCUGAUCUUUUCUGUUGGAUUCGCUGAUAAUCUUUGGAUCAGGUGUUAGUCUCUGGUAGGACUGACUUAAUACGGAUCUUCCGGAAGACGUUGUUUGUUGAAUAUUCUGGAUGUGUAGAUCCAUGUGAGAUCUAUGUGAUUGUUUUAUGUUGGAAUUUGAAGAAGAUUGAAUAAUUGAGAAAUUGACCAUGUAAUUUGAUUUUCUCUUUUAAUUUAAUUUCAUAUAUUAUAAAAUUUUAUUUUCACUAGCUUACCCUUGCUUUUUGUGUUGUGUUUAAACUGCGAUGACUGUACUAUGUACACGAGCAGAUGACCAUACAGGUGCAGGAAAGUCUUAGAGGUUUCAGAGUUUUAUUUUUAGCUAUGAAUAUGUAAAUAUUUGUAUUUCUAUAAAUCCUAAUAAUGUAUUAGGAAUGUUUUGAAAAACUUCAAAUUUGUAUAGAAAUACGUAGAACUUGUAUUGUAAUAGUUAGAUAUUAUUUUCUGGGGUGUUACACUGUUUAUGUGUUUCUUCCGUUCUUUCAAAUUUGGAUCAUUCUUGAUUUUUUAAUAUAUAUUUAUUUUAUUUUAAAAAUAUCUGAUUAAUGUAUUUAUAUUAUUUUUGUCAUUUUAGGACUUUUGUGUCCAACAUAGGAAUUGAGUUGGAGUCGGUGCCGACAAAAAUGAGAAACAUGCCAGAUAAAUAUUUUAAAUAAACAAAAUGAGUUUAAUAUGACAUCAUUUUGCAGUAAUUAGCUACAAAAUCACUUAUUUUAUCUGUUUAUAAAUAAAAAAAUAAAAAAAUUUCAUGAUAAAAUGCAUGAAUACAUGGAUGAUAAAAUUUGUCAAAUGAUGAUAAUUUAACGGUAAAAUGUGUAAUUUAGUAAAUAUGUUAUUCUUUCUUAUAAUCUUUAUCGUCAACAAAAUGUUAUUAUUUUUAUCUUUUCAAAUACUUUUUCUAUUCUUUUUAGCAUUUUUAAUUUUUUAAUAUUAUUUAUUUAUUUGUCAUCUGUUAAUCAAAUAAAUACUACUAUAGUUAAAAACAAAUAUAGAUAUUGAUUUGAUUAUAAAUUGUUUAAGAAUUAAAAGGUAUUUACCAAACUUGUUGAAGAGAAUCAACUUAAUUAUAAGUACUUAUGUACGAGCUGACAAUAAAAAUAAAUAAAUAAAUAUAUUUACUACAACAUUAUAUUGCCAAUUUGUCUUGUUUUUUUUUAACUUGUACAAUACAUACGUUUAUAACUUGGAGGAUGAAGUAGAUGUAAGAGUUUAGGAUGUUUAUAAAAAUUAAGCAAAAGCAUAAAAAUCUAGAUUUUUAUUGUGAUGUUUAUAUUAACUUUAUCAUGAUAUGUUAAUAAUAUAGUUAUACAUUAUAAUGGUGACUCCAUUAUAAUCACCUCAUAACACCAUUUAAUCUUUUAAGAUAUUUUUAUAACCUUCAGGUUUAGUUCAUCUAUACCAGAAUAUCUAUCAUUCAUUUUCAUUCAAACUUGUAAUAUGUAUAAUAAAAUGUUUGUUUCUUUGGAUAAGAAUUCAAAGUGAAAAAUCAAUAAAUAACUUGAGACAGAAAUUGUGAAUAACGUUGUUUUUUCAUUUGUUAUGCUUUAAACAAUAAAAAGAGUUAUAAUAUAUUUUAGAUAAAUUAAUGUUAAAAAUUUGUAAUUUCUUUUAGAUUUGAUAUGUACUAUCAUUUUAAUAUUACGCUUUGAUUGUUAGGUUAAAUAUGUCAAAAGAAAGUGAGUUUAUUUCUUUCACAAACAAAAUUUGAAGAUGCAGACAAAGGAAAUGUGGCAACAAAAGUAGAACACAUUUAUUUCACAAGUAAACAUUGAUCAAAUCUCUCAUACAAUAUGAUGUGAUAAGAUUCUUGAUUUACAUUGAAAUUAAACAAAAACAAGUGCAUAGAACAUUCUCCACUUAUUUAUUUUGCUACAAUUCUCAUGACUUCUUUUUCCCCAUUAUAUUAAGACCACCUCACAAGCCAUUCAAGCUUUCCUAUAAUACAAAAGUCUGAGGCCAAUUCCAAAUAUCAUUCCACAUCCAUAUCCUAUAACCACUGGUUCCCAUCCAAAUCCAAAUCUCUCUUCUCCCAAUAAGCUCGGAGAAGAUGGAGGGUUUUGUUCAGUGUUGUUGCAAUUCAUUGACAAUGGAAACCCACAUAAUCCCGAGUUUCCUAGGUAGGAGUCAUUUGAAAAAGUCGCAAACUGUUUUCCUUUAGGUAUUUCUCCCACAAGCUGGUUAUUGGAAAGAUUCAAGACUGCUAGAAAGUUCAUAUUGGUUAAUUCUGUUGGAAUCCUACCAGUGAACAUAUUUGAAGAGAGAUCCAAUGAUUCUAAGUUUGUCAAAUAUCCAAUGGAUUUGGGAAUAAGACCACUUAAUCUGUUAUGGGAAAAAUUGAGUCCUCUAAGAGCGUGAAGCUCUCCAAUUACAUAUGGAAUUUGUCCUUCAAAUUUGUUUUGAGAUAAAUCAAUGGUAAAAAAGUUUCUUGGAAUUUUGUGGAGUGUCAUACUUAUCGCUUUUGUUGUUACAGUUACAGAUUCAUACAUAUAUUCAGUUAUAUAUAGAAUCAUAACAUUUAGGGAUGCACUGACUUGAGUAAGUGGUGUGUUCAUGUAGAACUCGCUCCCUUUAUAUUUAAUGACAUUCUUCAUGGCUUUAAAAUUUUGUAUAUAGGUUUUUGGUAUUGGACCAUUGAAAUAGUUGGAUGAGAUAUCAAAAAUAACAAUACUUGAAAACCCAUACUUUGUCUUUAAAUUGGCAAUGGGACCAUAGAAUUUGUUGGCUCGCAAUACCAAUAUUGUCAACUCUGGUAGAGUUUGAACCCAAUGGGGAAAUUUAUCCUCAAUUUGAUUGUUGCCAACAUCCAAGAUCUUCAGUUUUAUGCAAUUAGACAAAGAUUCUGGCAAAAGACCUUCCAAUUGGUUGUUAUUGAGAUUCAAAAUAGUGAGAUAACUAUUCAUUGAAAAGGUAGUUGGUAAAGUGCCAUUUAGUGUGUUAUUUUUUAGAUCCAAAACAAAAAGGAAUUGCAAGUUUACAAGGCAUGAUGGAAUGACGCCUGUCAACUUAUUGUGUGACAAGCUGAGAAUGAUAAGAUUACUUAUUUUACAAAUUGAGGAAGACAUGUCGUCAAUGAGUAAAUUGAAACUAAUAUCAAGGAACCUGAGAUUGUAGUUCCUCGAGAAUUGGUUCAUUGGAGUUGUCAACAAGUUGUGGGAUAGGUUCAGAACUUUUAAUGAAUCGAUUUUAUGUAACCACUCGGGCACUGCUCCAUUCAAUUUGUUGUCAGAUAGAUCGAGCUUUGUUAGCAUUGGGAAUUUUCCUAAUAAUUUUGGAAAUUUAGUUAAACCCACAGAAGAUAAAUACAAUCUCUCUAAGCGAGGGGUGUUGGUGAAGAAUGAAGAGUUAUGAAAAUUACUGAAGUUGUUUGAUGAUAGACAUAAGUGAGUUAGGUUUACAAGGGUGAAGACUGAUUGUGGAAUAUAUCCAUGUAGCUUGUUGUAGCACAAAUAUAAAGACUCCAAGGAUUGAGAUGAGAUUGAAGGUAUAUGUCCAGUGAACUGAUUAUCUGAUAGAUCCAGUUCUUUCAAAAAUGGCAAAGAUAAACACCAAGCAGGAAUUGUCCCAUUUAGUAAGUUAUCAUUGAAGGAUAAAAAAGUUAGGUUUGAAAGCCCUGUUAUUUUGUUGGGUAGAGGACCCUCCAAUCUAUUCUCUGAAAGAUCCAAGUGAAGAAGAUGUUGAAGAUUUGAAAGUGAGGAUGGAAUUUGGCCAUAGAAUUGAUUGUAUCGAAGAUCCAAAACAGUUAAAUAUGGAAGGGUUAAGAUUGAGGAUGAGAUUGAAUCUUUGAGAUAGUUACUUGAGAGAUUGAGGGAAGUAAGAUGUGUGAAGUUGGAGAAAGAGGCAGGGAUUGUCCCCUCCAACAUGUUCCAUGAAAGAUCCAACAUAGUGAGAGAAGCAGCACUGCAACUCAAGUUCGGAAAAUACUCAACACUAUUCUCUGACAAGCAUAAGUGUUUAAGUUUUGGUAAACAAAAGAUGUCAGUUUUCAAAUUUUGUCGAACUCCAGUGCCUCUAAGACUAAGACUAACCAAAGAGGUAGACAAAUUGAGCUGACUCAUCGAACUAGAAGUCAUAUUUACCUUAUCCAAAAUAAGCUCCCUUAAAACUGUUGUAUUUUGGAGGAACUUCUUCCAAUUGCUCUCUUCCCACGUUAACAAAGUAUCAGAGAGAUCAAGUGAUUCUAAUUUGGAAAGUUGUGAGAUCUGGGAAGGAAUUUCACCUCGAAAGAGAAAAUCACCAGACAAAUUGAGGUGUGUGAGGCUCACAAACCCACCAAAAGGAAAUGAUAAUUGAGAGGAGAAAUAAUUGAAAGCAAGAUUAAGUGAUUGAAGAUGAGAAAGACGAAAAAGUGAAGUGUUUGGAAUGAUUUCACCUAAAAGACCACUGCAGGUGAGGUCAAGGCCUAUGACGUGACCAGAGAUGGGGUGGCAAGUAACCCCAGACCAUGAGCAACAAUCUGUUCCAUUUUCCCAUGUUCUGGUCUUUGGAACAAGAUUAUCACAACGGAAAUGAUAAUUGUUAUCACUGAAAGAGGUCUUGAAUUGGAGCAAGGCAGUUUUCUCAUGAAGAUGACAUAAGGAAUGGGAGGAUGAGAAGUGAAAGAGCAACAAAUGACAACACAGAAAAAGCAACCACCCCACCCAUGACUCCAUUUGAAGCUGUGUUUAAGGAAAAGGGUUCACUGUGAUUUACUUAGAGCAAUCAAAGAUGAAGAUUUAUAGCCAAAAUAAAAUAGUUUGUCUUCAUUAAUGUUUUCAAUUUCCAAUUUGUCUUGGUCAGUGCCUGCAAAGACGGGGCAUUUGGAAUUGACUUUGGAGUCAAUGCCCCAAACAAUGGGACUUGGGUUUACUAUUCCAACUACAAACAAUAAAGAGAUCACAUGCCAUAUAAAUAUUUUAAAUAAACAAUAUGAGUUUAAUAUCACAUCAUUUUGCAAUAAUUACCUACAAAAUCACUUUUUUACUAAAAUUAAUAAAAUAAAUUUUUUUGAUGAUAAAAUGCAUGGAAAAACAUGGAUAAUAAAAUUUGUAAAAUGAUGAUGAUUUAACGGCAAAAAGUGCAAUUAAGUAAAUAUUUUAUUCUUCCUUAUACUCUUUAUCGUUAAUAAAAUGCUAUAUAUUUUUAGACACAUUUUCUAUUUCUUUUUGUAGCAUUUUUUAUUUAUUUAUUUGUCAUCUGUUAACCAUAUAAAUAAUAGUGUUUAAAAAAAUAAAGAUAUUGAUUUGAUAAUAAAUUGUUUAAGAAUUAAAAGAUAUUUACUAAACUUGUUGAAGAGAAUAAACUUAAUUAUAAAUACUAUGUACGAGGUCAACAAUAAAAAGUUUGCUAUACAGUAAUAAAUAUAUUUUUUAAUUAAUGCCUUGCUAUUAAUUUUUUUUCUUUUCUUUAUUUUCUUAGUAUAGUUUUCUAGGUUAUAACGUGUUUUUUUAGUUGAGUGUGUAGACUCAACGACUUUAAUUUUAAUGCAUUGGGCCCUUUUGACUUUCGUGUGUAAAUUAAUGACUUUUAUGAAAGAUGAAGCUUCAAGAAUUUAGAGAAGGCAAUUAAUUAAUUCAUGUUUUGGCAAUGUUAGGUUAGAGUAGAGAGAAAUAUAGCAUCAUUUUUUUGUCUUGUUCAAUCAGACUUCUGAUACAAAAAUUUAAUGUUAUUUAUGCAAAAAGUGAAUAGAAUCUAUUAAAUUAUUUUUAUCUAAGAACUUCCAAGUAUUUCAUAUGAUUUCUUUACUUCACAAUGAAUUUGUAAUAAGACCUUUAGCCUUUUGUGUUAAUGGUUUCAUUUAUUUCAAAAUUAAAAAAUGAAUUAGUUAAGGUGACUGCAUAAGGAAUAUAAUAAUAAACAAAUUAUAACAAUAAAUUAAUUUAUUGUUUUAAUUGAUUUCAUAGAAUUAGAUUUAUUUGGGUUUUAAUUAUUAUUUUUGUUAAUUUUAUGUUUAUAAAGUAAAUGGUUUAAAAGAAGUGUUUAUCUUUAUUAUUGAGUCAAAUAUGCAAAAGUCUAAGUGGUUUCUUUGAAUUAAAACAGAAAACAAUAUCUAAGGUGAAGAAAGGGGAAAUAAAAUCUACAAUAUCUUCAUAAACAGAAUUGGAAUAAAAUAUUUUGCAAAAUACAAUAAUGAUGUAAAGUUAAAAACGAUUAACAAAAUCUAAAUUACAAUAUUUUUUCAAGAUCCUUGGAGCAUAAAAGCUUAUAAAAAGACACAAGCCUCAAAGAGAGAGGAGAGAACUUCAUAGGAUUUUCUUAGUUUAUUUUCUUCUUUGUAAUUCUUUUGUUUAUUUUACCUCUGCAUGGAAAGUUAAACCUUUUUAGUUGAUUUCUUUGUAAUCCCCAUUGAGUUAUGAUGUUUUCAUCAAUAUAAGUUUCAUUUUUCAAUUCUCUACAACAGUUGUUUUUUAUCUUCUAAUCUACUGAAAAACUGGUUUUUGUUAGAUGUUGUACUUGAACUCAUGAUUGAGAGUUUUCCUUACUUUAAGCUUUGGUUUCUUAAUUAAUUCGCAUUGUUCUAAUUAUUAAAAAAAAAUUACAUGAAAGACAAAAUUAGCUAUAUGAAUAUAAUUCCAGAAUGGGAAUGUGCAAUUUCUUUGAUCGCACAAAGAGUAAAUAUAGUAAAGUUUGAAGACAAAAAGAGCAAAUGUAUCAUCAAUGAGCAAAAGGAAUAUUGCUGUUUUAUAUUUACUUGGAAUUUUUUCUGCAUUUGUUUGAUUUUUCAACAACAGAUUUUUUAAGAUUAAGAAAAUUAUAAUUUUAGUCAUAAUGCACAAUGUCAUUUUCCAUUUGGCUCUUGCAUUAAAAGAAUUAUUGGGACGCAAAUUCUAAUAAUCUUCUAUCAUAAAAUUAAAAAAUGUUACAGGUCAUUGAUUUAAAUUAAAAUAUUUUAUGAACACAACUCAUUUUAAAUUAAGAAUAAGCAUACAUUUAUUUUCACAAAUUACACUUUUCAUGGCUCAACUUUGAGGAACCAAAUGGGUUUAACCUAACUUUUCCCAAAUAAAAAGUUGAUUAUUUCCAAUAGUUUAUAUAUGGAUAACAAUACAAUUCAGAAAGUGAUGCAACAUAUACUUUCUCUUUUUUAAGGAAUAAAUAAAUAACCUUUUUUUUCCAUAGCCACUGCCAUAAGAUGUGUAAGUCACAACUUUUACAUUAUUAUUUUUAAAUUCAAUGCAUUUUGAAAGAGAGAAAAAAAUUGGAGAUUAAUUAUUUUUAUUUUAUUUUUUAACUUCACAUUUUAACACACAUUAUUAUAUUAUUAAAGUGUGUUGUCAAGUGGGUAUAUUUUUUUAGAGAGGUUCCCAAAUAUUAUUUUCCAAGAGAAACUUUGGGAGAGAGGAAAUUAUGAAUGAGAGAUAAGUAGUAUAAGGUUUUUGAAAUAGUAUUGGUCUCAAAAACAGUUUUGAAAUUCCAUGUCACAAAACGACAAUGAUUUACUAGACAAACUAAUAACUUAAUAUGACAAUAAGAGAUUGCACAAACCAACUCAAAUAAGAGAUUCCCAACAUAAGUUUAAAGAUUAAAGAGGACAUUCCACAAACUAGUCCAUAUUUGAAAAAUAAUUUUGAGAGUUGUAUAUUUCAUUAAAAAAUUCCAUUUUUAUUGUAUUUUCUAUAUUUUUUGUUUUCAUGAAAAGAAGUUAUGUUAAGCAAUUAAUUAGUGGUCACCUCCAAAUUUUGAAAUGUAAAAUAGGUUACAAGAAAAUUAGUUUAUUCUUCUCAUAACAAAAUUUGAUUGGAGAGAGAAAGGAAAUGUGACAACAUAAGUAGAACACAUUUAUUUUACAACUAGAUCAAAUCUUUCAUACAAUAUGGUGUGAUAAGAUUCUUGACAUACAUUGAAAUUGAACAAGAACAAAAGCAUGGAACAUUUUCUAGUCAAGCCACAUAUCCACUAAUUUAUUAUGCUACAAUUCUCAUGACUUUCUUUUCACCUUUAUAUUAAGACCACCUCCAACCAUUUUCACAAGUCAUUCAAGCUUUCCUACAAUACAAAAAUCCAAGGCCAAUUCCAAAUAUCAUUCCACAUCCAUAUCCUAUAACCACUGGUUCCCAUCCAAAUCCAAAUCUCUCUUCUCCCCAGAAGCUUGGAAAAGAUGGAGAUUUUUGUUCAGUGUUGUUGCAAUUCAUUGACAAUGGAAAUCCACAUAAUCCCGAGUUUCCUACAUAGGAGUCGUUUGAAAAAGUGUCAAACUGUUUUCCUUUAGGUAUUUCUCCC
rnacentral:lncRNA from 1 species